rnacentral:rRNA from 1 species
UACGAACUGUGCAAACGUUAUUCGGAAUCACUGGGCUUAAAGGGUGCGUAGGCGGCUCGUUAGGUAGGGUGUGAAAGCCCCCGGCUCAGCCGGGGAAUUGCGCCCUAAACCGGCGGGCUGGAGUGAGAUAGGGGUGUGUGGAACUUCCGGUGGAGCGGUGAAAUGUGUUGAUAUCGGAAGGAACGCCGGUGGCGAAAGCGACACACUGGGUCUCAACUGACGCUGAGGCACGAAAGCCAGGGGAGCAAACAGG